rnacentral:misc_RNA from 1 species
GAUGAAGAACGUAGUGAAAUGCGAUACUUGGUGUGAAUUGCAGAAUCCCGUGAACCAUCGAGUCUUUGAACGCAAGUUGCGCCCGAAGCCAUUAGGCCGAGGGCACGCCUGCCUGGGUGUCACACGUCGUUGCCCCCCCAUCUAAUCCUUCGGGAUUGCGGGGGGCGGAUGAUGGCCUCCCGUGCGCCUCGUCGCGCGGUUGGCAUAAAUGCCAAGUCCUCGGCGACGCACGCCACGACAAUCGGUGGUUGCGAAACCUCGGUUGCCCGUCGUGUGCGGUCGUCGCGCAUCGAGGGCUCGAAAAAAUUGCCGGGCUCCGGCUCGACUUUCAACGCGACCCCAGGUCAGGCGGGGUUACCCGCUGAAUUUAAGCAUAUCAAUAAGCGGAGGA